AGAGUUUGAUCCUGGCUCAGGAUGAACGCUGGCGGCGUGCCUAAUACAUGCAAGUCGAACGCUUUGUCUUUAAUUGAUAUGAAGAGCUUGCUCUGAUUUGAUUUUAUCUGACAAAGAGUGGCGAACGGGUGAGUAACACGUGGGUAACCUACCUCUUAGCAGGGGAUAACAUUUGGAAACAAGUGCUAAUACCGUAUAACACUAACAACCGCAUGGUUGUUAGUUGAAAGAUGGUUCUGCUAUCACUAAGAGAUGGACCCGCGGUGCAUUAGCUAGUUGGUAAGGUAAUGGCUUACCAAGGCGAUGAUGCGUAGCCGAGUUGAGAGACUGAUCGGCCACAAUGGGACUGAGACACGGCCCAUACUCCUACGGGAGGCAGCAGUAGGGAAUCUUCCACAAUGGGCGCAAGCCUGAUGGAGCAACGCCGCGUGUGUGAUGAAGGGUUUCGGCUCGUAAAACACUGUUAUAAGAGAAGAACGACAUUGAGAGUAACUGUUCAGUGUGUGACGGCUAUCUUAUCAGAGAGGAACGGCUAAAUACGUGCCAGCAGCCGCGGUAAUACGUAUGUUCCAAGCGUUAUCCGGAUUUAUUGGGCGUAAAGCGAGCGCAGACGGUUAUUUAAGUCUGAAGUGAAAGCCCUCAGCUCAACUGAGGAAGGGCUUUGGAAACUGGAUAACUUGAGUGCAGUAGAGGAAAGUGGAACUCCAUGUGUAGCGGUGAAAUGCGUAGAUAUAUGGAAGAACACCGGUGGCGAAAGCGGCUUUCUGGACUGUAACUGACGUUGAGGCUCGAAAGUGUGGGUAGCAAACAGGAUUAGAUACCCUGGUAGUCCACACCGUAAACGAUGAGUGCUAGAUGUUCGAGGGUUUCCGCUCUUGAGUGUCGCAGCU
rnacentral:rRNA from 1 species